AUGGAUACUAAAGGAGAAAGAAAACGAACACACCUGGAUGGAAGUAAAAAGAACCACCACAGCAACAAACGCACCACCACGAACAAUAAGAACCCACCGCACCACCGCACCCCGCACCACCUCACCUCACCACCACUCAGAGCAAAGGUGAAGUGUGAAGGAUGAAGGAGAAUGAUGAAAGUCAGAGGAAGAGAGGCAGAUGUAUUGGGG
rnacentral:lncRNA from 1 species